CAGAGUUCAUGCCCCCCGGGGUAGAUCUCCCACCCUGUGUUGUCACAACUCUUGUUGCUUUGGCGGGCCGCCUCUGGCCACCGGCCCCGGCUGGUGAGCGCCCGCCGAACACCAAAACUCUUGAAUCUAGUGUCGUCUGAGUACUAUAUAAUAGUUA
rnacentral:misc_RNA from 1 species